rnacentral:rRNA from 1 species
GGAGGAUCCAAGCGUUAUCCGGAAUCAUUGGGUUUAAAGGGUCCGUAGGCGGUUUAGUAAGUCAGUGGUGAAAGCCCAUCGCUCAACGGUGGAAAGGCCAUUGAUACUGCUAAACUUGAAUUAUUAGGAAGUAACUAGAAUAUGUAGUGUAGCGGUGAAAUGCUUAGAGAUUACAUGGAAUACCAAUUGCGAAGGCAGGUUACUACUAAUGGAUUGACGCUGAUGGACGAAAGCGUGGGUAGCGAACAGGAUUAGAUACCCUGGUAGUCCACGCCGUAAACGAUGGAUACUAGCUGUUGGGAGCAAUCUCAGUGGCUAAGCGAAAGUGAUAAGUAUCCCACCUGGGGAGUACGUUCGCAAGAAUG